ensembl:lncRNA
GGAGUUAAAUAGUACCUCAGAUCUCAGAUAAAGCAGACCCGAGGAAAGGAACACAAGCUCAGAUGGAGGAGACGGCAGCUGACAACAAGGUAAAGGAAUUUCACCGAUGUCCUUAUCUCACAGUUACAUCGUCGUGGUAAUAGGACUUUCUGUCACUUUGAGUUUUGGAUUCAUCUUUUAUUAUCAUUCUUACAUUUUUAGUUUAACUUUUAUUUUAUUUUGCUUCAGUUCUUUCUUUUUUUUUUUGACUUGUUCCCCUCACUGUUCUGUGUUUGCACCUUUGUCCUCCUGUGGUCCUGUUUAUUUGGGAUCUUGUUUAGUGUUAGUCUUUGUGUGUCAGUGCACUUGGCUCUUGUUUAUUUCUACUUCCACAAGUUACUUUGGUGGCUCGCGUUCGUUUGUUUCUCCUUUGUGAUUGUUCUGCAUGCUUUCAACUGUGUGAAAUUACUUUCACAGCUUCUGUCUCUCAUUCCCCAUCAGCCCUCAUUGUCACAAACACUGUGUACGGUCCCUCGUGUGCUCUCCAGAAGGAGGUCCUUGUUAUUCAUCACUGGCUUUUGUCUUUGUUUUUGUUAAUGUUGGGUUUUUUUACUGGUUUUUAAAGGCUCGCUUACUGUUGGAGCAGUUCAGCCUGCAUGCCACAUUUGGAUGCUCACCUCUACAUUCCACACACCUGUUGUGACCUGCAUUUGGUUUAUGGUGUCAGAUUUGUCACAAACAAAAAUGUCACUAAACAGAGUCAUAAAUACAGGAUUCUAAACAAGACUAUGUAGUAUUUUCUAUGUAAAGAUUUAGUAGAAAAUGGCAUCCUGUGUAAAUAACAAAGUCACACCAACCUGGUGUGUGUUGUAGUUCAGGUUUCUCUGUUCAUGUUUGGAUAACCAGUUUUGGCCUUUUUAUACAAAGAAAGAAACAUAAUCUUUAUAGGAUGCAGAGUAAAUGUGAGUUUACAUCUAAUGUUUCACUCUGAACACUGAAAUACUGGUGGAAGUAAUGCUCAGGAUUUAGAAAGUGAUUAAGUGUAAUGAUGUGGGCGUUUGUUGUCUUUGUCUGAAGUCCAAACCUGUUGGGCUGUCUGUAAAUAAAACACACCUAACUGUUUUAGUCUGAAAUCCUGCUGUGAUAUGAGUGGUUCUAGAUUUUUAUCAUCUCAUAUUUAAGUUAUUUUAUUUUUCAUUCAAAUGAGCAUUUAUUAAAUAUACUUGAACCUCUCUUUUUCAUUUGAGAUUAAAAUGUUUUGAUUGAAUGUUUUGCCCUAUAAUAGAAGAACAGAAUAGCUCUUUAUUGUCAUUGUACAUGCACAAUGAAAUUAUGGAAAAACACACUGUAACUCUUUUCUUAGUGCCUUCUAGCGAACGAUGCUCAUGAAGCUCAACAACCAGAAGAGAAUGAGGAAAAGGGCAAGACUAAAACUACGUCUGAAUCAGUUGCAGAUAAAGACAAAGAACUGCCUGAGCUCACAAUUGUGUUACUUGGUGACACAAAUUCCAUGGAGAUUGGGCCAAACAACAUUUUACUUGACCACGAAGAGAAAUCCAAUGUGGAUCAGUUUUCAUCCAAGUUGUAUGAUAUGUGUGGUCGGCAAAUCUCUGUCAUUAAUAUGAUCAGUCUCCAAAAUGUUGCUAAAAUCCCAUCAGAUCAGGCAUUUCAUGUCUUUCUCUUACUGGUGCCAUAUGGUCUGCAUUGCAGCCAUUACAGCUCAGGGAUUCAGUGGCUAGAAAAGACGUUUGGAGAAGGAUUUCUUCCUUAUGUAAUGACUGUUGUAACUCGUGAGCCAGGUGAAAAAUGUGAAAGUGCACUGGCAGACCUGAAAGCUAACAGUGGUUUGACCGAAAAAAGAUUCCACACAUGUACAAGAAAUAUGACAGAUGAAGAUGAGAUAAUAGCUCUGUUAGAGAAAAUAGAUAUCAUGGUCUCUGAAAACAAUCCCCACUGCUACAGUGGACUGAUGUGUGAUGAAGACAAAGACGAGGAUCAUCUGCAGCCAAACAAAAAAGAGGAUGAGAUCAGAUCUUCAGGUUAUCAGCAUAAACAAAAAGAACUAGCCUCUGCUCUUCGACAGUCGGCCUCUGCUGUUGGACGAUCAGCAUCUGCUGUUGGACAGUCAGCCUCUGCUUGUUGGACAGUUGGCCGCUGUUUUUGGACGGUUGGCCGAUGCAGUUGGGCAUUUGGUCGCUGUGGUUGGAAGGUUGGCCGCUGCGGUUGGACGGUUGGCCGCUGUUUUUGGACAGUCAGCCGUUGUGGUCGUGCGAUGAACUGCUGCCUUUGGUUGGCCACCCGCUGCUGCUGGGUGGUCAGCCACUGUGGCUGGGCAUUCAGCCGCUGCUUUUGGAAUUUCAGGCACUGGUUUUGGGCAGUCAGCCGCUGCUACUGGAAGGUCAUCCGCGGAUGCUGGAAGUUCAUUCGCUGGUGUUGGAUGGUCAGGCGGCAUUGUUGGGACUGUAUGCCACUGCUCUAAUAUCUUGUUUAUAUUUUAAAGACCAAAUUUCCAAAUGCAGAAUUUGCUUUAAACAGACUAAAUUGUUCCCGUUUUGAUCUAGAUUUUGUAUUAUAUAUGAUGCGAUAUUGUGUCCACCCAGUAGUAAUCUAUCCCAGUUGAAUUUUUGUGCAUUUUCAUUGUGUUUUUAUGUUCAUUUAUCAUAAUGUCUGCUUCCUUGUUGCCCAGGUCACUCGAGAAACUAACUUUUUAAAUCUCAGGGAAUUUGUUUAUCAAAAGAAAUCAUUGAAAUUACCCAAUGGGCAGAAAUUACAACUGCGAUAAUGAUGACUAUCUGGAAAGUUUUUUUCCUAAUAUCAUCACUUUAAUUAUGUAAAUUUCCCCCUGAGACAUUAUGUCCUCUGUAGUUGACACAGAUAAACAGAGAGGUGCGUUUUUUCCCUCAGUUCUUAAGAGGUUAAUAAUGUUAAAUCAUAUACAAACACCAAAAGAUUUUGGUUUAAUCGAAUAUAUAAAACAAUAUAUUUGUAGAUUUGGAAAAAAAUGUGCGUCAUUGAGUGUUGUAGUUCCCUAACUCCUUUACUCUGCAGUCUCUAAACAAAGGCCGUGUGAGACUACAUUUUAAUAGCGCCAUAUGUGAUUUCAGUCAGUAGAGGGCACUGUUUACUGUUAACUUAUUUGUAGUGGCUCAGCAUACAGACAACUAAUAUUAUACAAUCAUGAGUUAAUUUACAACAGCAAGAUGCACUCCAACAACACAAACCUUCACCAAGGCAACUCACUGUCGGGGCAGUACUUACUAUUAAGGGAAUAGUGCUGUAUUUUGUAUAUUUUCAUUGUGUUUUCUUUGAUAUUUUGAAACCUUUUUCAUGUGAAUAUAGUACAUGCAUGACAUUUAUUUCAUUCUUUAAUAAAAUUCAUUUAAAUGUUUAAUAAUAAAUAUUAAAAGUAUGCAUGAGAAUUCUACAUGUAUUCAAACUGUUAUGUAUCUAAACACUGAUAAUCUGUUACUGCUGUGUGCAUAAAGUCAUAAUAAAAUAAAUGUUACCAA